AUUGAACGCUGGCGGCAUGCCUUACACAUGCAAGUCGAACGGCAGCACGGGAGCAAUCCUGGUGGCGAGUGGCGAACGGGUGAGUAAAGUAUCGGAACGUGCCCAGUCGUGGGGGAUAACGUAGCGAAAGUUACGCUAAUACCGCAUACGAUCUAUGGAUGAAAGCGGGGGAUCGCAAGACCUCGCGCGAUUGGAGCGGACGAUAUCAGAUUAGGUAGUCGGUGGGGUAAAGGCUCACCAAGCCGACGAUCUGUAGCUGGUCUGAGAGGACGACCAGCCACACUGGGACUGAGACACGGCCCAGACUCCUACGGGAGGCAGCAGUGGGGAAUUUUGGACGAUGGGCGAAAGCCUGAUCCAGCCAUGCCGCGUGCAGGAUGAAGGCCUUCGGGUUGUAAACUGCUUUUGUACGGAACGAAAAGGUUUGGCCUAAUAAGCUGAGCUCAUGACGGUACCGUAAGAAUAAGCACCGGCUAACUACGUGCCAGCAGCCGCCGUAA
rnacentral:rRNA from 1 species